GUGCCAGCAGCCGCGGUAAUUCCAGCUCCAAUAGCGUAUAUUAAAGUUGUUGUGGUUAAAAAGCUCGUAGUUGAACCUUGGGCCUGGCUGGCCGGUCCGCCUCACCGCGUGCACUGGUCCGGCCGGGCCUUUCCCUCUGUGGAACCCCAUACCCUUCACUGGGCGUGGCGGGGAAACAGGACAUUUACUUUGAAAAAAUUAGAGUGCUCCAGGCAGGCCUAUGCUCGAAUACAUUAGCAUGGAAUAAUAAAAUAGGACGCGCGGUUCUAUUUUGUUGGUUUAUAGGACCGCCGUAAUGAUUAAUAGGGACAGUCGGGGGCAUCAGUAUUCAACUGUCAGAGGUGAAAUUCUUGGAUCAGUUGAAGACUAACUACUGCGAAAGCAUUUGCCAAGGAUGUUUUCAUUAAUCAGGAACGAAAGUUAGGGGAUCGAAGACGAUCAGAUACCGUCGUAGUCUUAACCAUAAACUAUGCCGACUAGGGAUCGGACGGUGUUAUUCAUGACCCGUUCGGCACCUUACGAGAAAUCAAAGUGCUUGGGCUCCAGGGGGAGUAUGGUCGCAAGGCUGAAACUUAAAGAAAUUGACGGAAGGGCACCACCAGGGGUGGAGCCUGCGGCUUAAUUUGACUCAACACGGGGAAACUCACCAGGUCCAGACACAAUAAGGAUUGACAGAUUGAGAGCUCUUUCUUGAUUUUGUGGGUGGUGGUGCAUGGCCGUCUUAGUUGGUGGGGUGACUUGUCUGCUUAAUUGCGAUAACGAACGAGACCUUAACCUGCUAAAUAGCCCGCAU
rnacentral:rRNA from 1 species